rnacentral:rRNA from 1 species
CACGUAGGGUGCAAGCGUUGUCCGGAAUCAUUGGGCGUAAAGAGCGUGUAGGCGGCCAGAUAAGUCCGCUGUGAAAACUCGAGGCUCAACUUCGAGCUGUCGGCGGAAACUAUCUGGCUAGAGUCCGGAAGAGGAGAGUGGAAUUCCUGGUGUAGCGGUGAAAUGCGCAGAUAUCAGGAAGAACACCCGUGGCGAAGGCGGCUCUCUGGGACGGUACUGACGCUGGGACGCGAAAGCGUGGGGAGCGAACAGG